rnacentral:rRNA from 1 species
GAUGAACGCUGGCGGCGUGCCUAAUACAUGCAAGUCGAGCGAACAGACGAGGAGCUUGCUCCUCUGACGUUAGCGGCGGACGGGUGAGUAACACGUGGAUAACCUACCUAUAAGACUGGGAUAACUUCGGGAAACCGGAGCUAAUACCGGAUAAUAUAUUGAACCGCAUGGUUCAAUAGUGAAAGACGGUUUUGCUGUCACUUAUAGAUGGAUCCGCGCCGCAUUAGCUAGUUGGUAAGGUAACGGCUUACCAAGGCAACGAUGCGUAGCCGGCCUGAGAGGGUGAUCGGCCACACUGGAACUGAGACACGGUCCAGACUCCUACGGGAGGCAGCAGUAGGGAAUCUUCCGCAAUGGGCGAAAGCCUGACGGAGCAACGCCGCGUGAGUGAUGAAGGUCUUCGGAUCGUAAAACUCUGUUAUUAGGGAAGAACAAAUGUGUAAGUAACUAUGCACGUCUUGACGGUACCUAAUCAGAAAGCCACGGCUAACUACGUG